AUUAGGCUUUGUCUUUAAGUUAAUCACCACCAAAUCACACAAGUCAUGGUUAACACUGACGAUUCAUUUAUAGUUUCAUUGUUGUUCGAUCUUAGUUCUAUUAUAUGGUAAAUAGACCAAGACAUUUUACCUGAAAUGUCUUCUGGAUUUGUGAUACUGCAGAUUUUUAAGUUGUAUGUUACAAAAAAUUUUGGAUGCAAGUUUGGAUAUAGGAUAAAAUGGAUUUGAAUUAUAAAAAAUAUACCUGAAAUUUAUAAAAUAGACCCAAAAAUUACAAAGAAAUAUAUCCUAAAAUAUGAAAAAGAUUUGAAAAAUAUCCAAAAAAUCUGAAAGUUAUAAAGAAAUCAAUCCAAAAACAUGAAAAGAUGUGAAAUAUGCCCAAGAGACUUGAAAAUAAACCGAAACUGUUUGUAUUUGUAAUUCUUUAAAGAUAUACAAAUUGUUUACCCAAACCGGUCAAGAACUGAAAUGAUCCGAUCCGAUCCGAAAACAAACAUAAAUUUUCCAAGCACUUAAUUUGAUUCAAAUGUCUAAAACUUAAAAGACUCAAACCCGAAAAGAGUCGACUCGAAUUCUAUCUGAAUACUCGAAUGUCUAGUUGUUGUUUCGGUUUUAAUUUGUAAUUGAGAUUUAUUGUUACUACUAUAUUAUGAGUUUUUUUAGUAAUGGAAGUGAAUUUAGUAUUGAUAUUGGUUAAAGGUAUAGUCAAAUACUCCUGUUAUUGGUCAUUGGUAUUGGGUCAUGAUUAAUAUCUAUCUAGUCCCUACAUAUGUGUGUACAAAGGAGGAAAAAUGUUCAAGCACCUUUUACUUAAGCACCUUUUUUUAAUUAUAGUAAUGGAUUUUCCCUUUACGAAAAGAGUUAAUGGAAAACAAUUUAAUUAAUUCUCUUAAUUUUAAUUUCAUGAACAACACUCAUGUGAUUACAUCAUGAAUAUACACCUUUUUUAUUUAAUUAGAAAGAGGAAAAUAUUGUUAAUGUAGCUUUUUUGCUUUAAAAAUAAACAAUUAGGAAAAGCUAGUAACUAUUGUUUCAAAAUAUUUGUAAAAUAUCCAAAAAAAUCAAUUUUUUCAGUCACCAAGAAGUAAAAUAUUUGUGGAAAUUGUGUUUUAAAUCUGCCAUUAAUGUAUGUUAUCACCCAGUUAUUGUAAAUGCCCAACUAUGAAACUUAAUAAGAUAAAUAGCAAUUAAAACAUUAUUAACUUGGCAAAGUCAAAAAGCUAAUAACAGUGGACUUGGAUUUUUCUUCAACAACUAGCUAGAGUGGUUUGACAAUUUCUCCCAAAUUUUCGAUUUAAAGAUAGAGUCAUAUUAAUAAAUGUGGUUUCUUGUUACUUUUCUUUUAGGCUUAAAACAGCAAAUGAUUCAUCAAGUGUUGAAAUGUUGACCGAAGCAGUCCAACGAUUCUUUCACACUUGAAAAUAAGUUUCAACCUCUUUAAAAACCCAAUAAGAUGUGUUAAAAAAUUUAUUCUCCAUCAACAAUGGGAAACUCUCUAAAGUCUUUCAAACGCCAACCUCAUUCAGUGGCCUACAAGCGUCCCAUCUAUGUUUCAGAAAACGACAAUCUGAAAGUCUUCAGCUUCACGGAACUGAAGAAAGCAACUAAGAACUUCAUAGAAUGCAAGGUCGUAGAUGGUGACGAUCGCUCUUCUCGAAAGUUCUACAAGGGCUACAUCGAUGAGUAUGUUCCAUCAAGAGCUGGAACCGGAAUCACUGUUUCUGUCCUGGAUGUUGGUAGCUCAUUCCCUCUACAAGACCGAGAGAUAAGCAAAGUCAGUCCAUUUGUAUAUCAUCUUUUAUGUCUUGUGCAUCUGAUUGAUCACGAUAACAUUUAAUUGCAAGAACAAGUGCAAUCUAUAGGACAGAUUAUUCAUCCCAAUGUAGUCAAACUUUUGGGUUACUGUUGUGAAAAUGACAAAAUACACUUCUUGGUUUUUGAAUACUUCCACAAAGGAAGCUUGGAGCGUCACAUUUAUGGAAGUUAAGAUCUCUUAUAAUCUAAUGGAUAAUAAAUAGCAUUCUGAUUUACAUAGAAGUGUCAUGUUUUUCUCAACAGAAGAAGAAGAACCACUACCGUGGGAGAUACGGGUUAAGAUAGCAAUUGGAGUAGCUCGAGGUGUUGAAUUUAUCCACUUUAUCAAGAACAAACCGGUAUUCGAAAACUCAGAAUGUAUAACAUUAUGCUUGAUGAGGUAAUGGUUUAUUUAUAUCUCUCUUUUAUUUUCUGUUUAUUAUCUUAAAAAUCAAUACCUAUGUUUGGAUUUUUGCCAGCAAUACAAUGCAAAAUUGUUUUAUCUUGAAUUAAACCAAGAAGAUGCAUGUAGACUCAUUGGAGGACUUGAAUACGAACCUCGAAUAUGUACAAUGUACAUUACAAAAACCUUAACUUCGUUCUAGACUAUAUAUGUUUUUUGCAAUGUCAAGACAAUUUGUGUCAUUUAUACAGGUCGUCUGGAUUUGAAGUCUGACGUUUUCACACUUGGUGUGAUCUUGCUUGACCUUGUAAUUGGUUCUAAAGAUACAAUACGAAAGGAGAGAAGAAAAAGCAUAGCUACCACCAGGCCAUCUUUAUUGUGUGAUGCUCAGAAGAUUAGGGAAAUAAUCAAUCCACGACUUAGGAAUGAUUAUCCAGUGAAUGCCGUGAAAGAAAUGGGCAUACUCAUCCAAAGAUGCACCAAGUGGGACAAGAAUGAACGACCACUGAUGCAGCAAGUCUUGGAUUCUCUAAGUUACAUUGCAGAAUUUAAGACUAGUGUGUAGAGGUUACUAAUACUUUUCACUACAUUGGAAAAGUGAAGAGGUUAAUGAUAGAUUAAUACCCAAAACCCAUGCUAGAGCGAAAUCAUGGACUAUUUUGUUCUAAUCAUAUUACUUAUAAACACUAAUACUCAUAAGAUCGCUGAUAUGAUCCAUGCAUAAGUUGUUAACCAUCAUAUUAUCAUGCACUUGUGGCACUUCGGUU